rnacentral:rRNA from 1 species
AGGAUGAGCAUGCGUCCCAUUAGGUAGUUGGUGAGGUAACGGCUCACCAAGCCCGCGAUGGGUAGUUGGUCUGAGAGGAUGAUCAGCCACACUGGGACUGAGACACGCCCCAGACUCCUACGGGAGGCAGCAGUGAGGAAUAUUGCGCAAUGGGGGAAACCCUGACGCAGCAACGCCGCGUGCGGGAUGAAGGCCUUUUAGGUCGUAAACCGCUGUAGCAGGGAAAAAAUAUCCCGUUCGACGGGAUUGAUGGUACCCUGAAAGUAAGCCUCGGCUAACUACGUGCCAGCAGCCGCGGUAAUACGUAGGAGGCAAGCGUUGUCCGGAUUUACUGGGUGUAAAGGGUCCGCAGGCGGACAAGUAAGUCGGGGGUGAAAUCCUGCAGCUUAACUGCAGAACUGCCUUCGAUACUGCCUGUCUUGAAUACGGGAAAGGGUGACGGAAUUCCAGGUGUAGCGGUGAAAUGCUUAGAUAUCUGGAAGAACACCGGUUGCGAAGGCUGUUGCCUGGCCCGUUAUUGACGCUCAGGGACGAAAGCGUGGGGAUCAAACAGGAUUAGAUACCCUGGUAGUCCACGCCGUAAACGAUGGAUACUCGGUGUCGGGCCGUAUGGUUCGGUGCCUAAGCUAACGCAGUAA